UCUUUGUUAACUUCCAGUCCACAGACACAGU
rnacentral:piRNA from 1 species